GUUUUAUUCUCCUUUCGAAUUUCUGGUUGCAAAUGCAUAUUAUUUCACAAAGACAUAGCUGCCAUGCGCCACGGUUUGCACAAUUUCAGGGUCGCGUGGGAAGCCGGAGUAUAUCCCGGAAGCAUUGGGAGUAAGACAACAGCUGAAUGCAGGAGAACCUGAAUUUGGAAAGCAUGGCUGAGCACCUUCAAGCACACAUUGACAAUCAUUCACACCAGGCUGAUUCGGAGUCACCGGUCAGACUAAAAGUCGCAACUUUAGGAGAUAGAAUGCAACCGUCAUGUGUGGGCACGAAAUAGGUCACCAAGACGAGACUGGACACCAGGCAGUUCUGGGCAGUGCAAGCAGAAGCCGAUCCCAGCAGCACUCGGGGCAAGGCGGGAACAAACACUGGACAGGACGCACUCGUGUACACCCGCGCUCACGACCACAUACGAGAAAUCCUGCCUGUCCCGGCCCCGAGGACGUCACUUUCUGGGAAUCGACUAUAAAAACACCUCAUUCUUCAUACUUAAUCAGUUCUACUUUGGACUCAAAUCUGUACACAUUGUACUCAACUGAAAGCCUUUUACAGCCAGGAAAACUAUACAGGUGGCUGCCCCAAACCUUUGUUGUGUGUCCAGUCAUUUAUUUCACAUUGGCAUAGUCAGCAGGAUGGCCUCCUUCACGAAACAGGAGAUGGAUCUUAGAAGAGCCAAGACACACCAGUCGAAUAACCGACCACUGAGGAGACAGGAAAGAGAUUACCGGUCCCACACUCCUGCUGGGGGGUCGGUUGGUUUUGGUGGGGGGAACUUAAGGCGCGCUUCAGCCCAAGGGGCUGCUAAAGAACCCGGGGCAUGUGGACAAAGUGCCUACGGACUAGGGCAGGGCUCAGAAGGAAACACAUGGGGGACUGAUUAUGGGCUCCCGGGUGAAUUGACACUUCACUGGUCUCCACAAUGUUGAAAGACACUUAAUAAAUGUGGGAGUACCCCAGGCUGGCAGGCAAGGAGAGUGAUGCAAUGGGAAUUCAGUUCACAACUGCCGACUGGCUCCCAAACCACACAAUUGUGGACUAAAGUCAGGUGCUAAUUAAGACCAGAAAUCAAUAACACCCGACAAAUAGUCGAGCAGGUGGCGUGUGCGCUACUACUCAGAGUUCUUUUGUACAACCUCUCCCAGCUUGCCUGGGAUCGGACGAUUAAGUACAUGGCCUUGUUAAUCGAGGUCAUACAAUCAUUAAGAGUGGGAACCUAUCUGGAAGAAUCAGAAAAGGAACCCUGUAAACCCGGACGUUCUUGUGUCCCUAUCUCAAUGCCUCAUUGCCACACUAUUAAGCAAACCCCGGGACCCUCUGACCCACAGCAGCCAUUUUCCGGCAGGGAGAAAGGGGUCUGCGGAGGCACGAAGACGGGGAGGUGGUGUGCUCUCGCUAACCCUCUGGCUUGUGCUCAUACAGGGGAGGUGUUAUAAAAUGGAGUUAAAACACCAGCCAUAUUCGAUUCUGGCAAUAACAUUCCAAUUGUUGCCUGCCACUCAGUGUUGCCGUGACAAUGGCUUAAACCCAAGACCAGUAUAACCUGUGUAUAUCUUGAUGUCCGCCAGUAUAAGUCUGCCUCGUGCUUUGUCAGCUAUGACGGGGCAAUAAAGAGACUGGCAGCUGCCAUAAUGAAGGACCCUGUGUUCCCCGUAAUACUCGGGAGAGACUAGUCAAACAGUAAAAGCGGUAUAACACUCACCACCCAUAAACAACCGUUGGGCCUAGUGAUGGACGCUGAGACGGCCUCCUCGAUUAACUCCCAAGCGCAUGUGUGUGACACUAGUCGUAUAUACUGACAUCCUCUGGUGAUGAGAUCAGCAACUACAAUCAUUAUGUUUGUUAUAUUUUCUGACUAGAAGUCAUGUAAUGUGUUGCAAACUUUAGGCAUAUGUUGGAGAGGAUGUCUUCCAUCAGUCAAUUUAAGCAGGCUCCACUCAAUAAGGCUGUGACACACUUUCUACAAAUCAAUACUAUAUAUGUAUUAUAUUGACUAGUUUUAGCACAUUCAGUGAGCUAUUUGCAUGUUCUUCUGACCAACUGGCUUUCUGCUUGAUCAGCUACAUGCUAUAACUUUCUUCUAUCAAAACAGAAGUGUUCCAAUCCCUAAACUUCUUUAAAGUUUUUUUUUUACAGUCCUAAUAUUGACAUGGCUGACAGGAAAAAUUCUCCAGCUUUUAGUAUGUUAAAACUAAAUCAAGCUCACAGAUUACAGUAUUGCAUUGAUCCCUAGUGUUUUUUACAGGCUCUUGGUAUUGACCUUUAAAUCUAAACUCUGGAACUGUAAAUGGAGGCCGAGCUGAAGUUCAAGUGAAAGAGUUAAUGGUGUUUUUGGAAGAGUGCCAAAUGCAUUCAAGGCUUUAUUACAGAGUAUUGGAAUAUCCAGCAAAUAUUUUCAGUCACUUAGUCCUAUAAAAUUAAGAAGUGAGAAAUCACUUGCAUAUGCACCAGGAUAUCAUACCAUGUAAUAGUGAUUUUUUUUAGUUUGUGUUCAAAAAAAGAAUAGAUGCACCACUCUUGACAGUUGACACAGGCUAAACAGCCUUUUAUCAGAGUGCACAACUUGGAAAGUUCAAUCUUGAAGCACAUGUUCAUGCCUGAAGGCUAGAUAUAUUCUAAGUGUACAGGAUCUAUCAUUGACUAUUUGUUGUUCAAAACAUUCAAGGUAAUUGAUCACAUUUACAAACAGAAAUAAUUAAAAAAUUAUUAACCAAAUUAUUGGAAACACAAUACAUUCACUAAAGAAGCUAAUAGAAAGUAUCCAUACAGUUUUAAAUUCAGCAUUUUCCUGGCAAUGAAAAAUGUUUAAGUAAUUUAUAUGUAGACUACAAUUAGUUAAUUAAAUACAAGCUUUAACCAAAUGGAAUUGUUGUCCACUAUGAUGGUUUAGUCUGUUUUCGGCUCUUCUUAAGAGAGAAAGGGUACUGUUUUACCCUGUGCACUGUUUUGACUGGUCAGUAGAAGCAAAGUAGAAUUGUGAAGUAUACCAAGACCUUAUAAUUAUGUAGCCUGCACACCCGGAUUAGAAUUAGUUUAGUAUCAAUUUCAAAAAGGAAAGAACCUGAUCCGUCACCCUGGCUACUCCCAAAGAAGCACAGUGAAUGAAAAGGUGAAAUGAUUCUUAGAAGACUUCUCUACAGGUGCAUAUUAGCAAUGAGGCCAUAAACAGACAAAUCUAUCAUAGUUAGGUAAAAUAAAAAACUCUAAUUUGUUGUAUAUUAGUUUUUAUAGUGCCCAGCAUUCAUACAGAACAAGUGUUAAUUACAGCCAGAUACAUACUCACACAUACCGAAUAGCACCUUUGAAAAGAAGAACACACAAGUGACAAAAAUGGCAGCAAUGAAAAACGUAGUUUUAUGUAGCAUUACGGCAUUUGCCAAACAAUAUUAUCAAGCCUGUACUGGCCAGCCAAACUUUUAACACACCAGAACUGAACAGAACCCUAUUGAGAACUAUUUUAUGAGCACUGUUAAAAUCAGGGAUUUUGUGCUACAGCAAUUUGUUAUAAGAAAAAGCAUGGGGACAACCCCCUCACAACAGUGGACUAUGGAACUGUUGUUUGGAUGUUUAUAAUAAAACAUUCAAUUCUUUUUUUUGAAUACCAAAUACUUCCUAUCAAGGUUCAGAAAUCAUUUAAAUUUGUGGUUGUGGAAAGCAGGUGCCAACUAGUACUGAAUUGUUCUGCAGGCAACCAAGCAGUAAUCUCACAUAAUGUUGAAACUGUAUCACUAGGAUUGAAAUCCAGAAAGAAAACACAUAAAAGAGUGCAAAAAGAGGCUAAGGAAGCUACAAAUAUUUCAGUUAGUUAUUUGCUCAAUUAAUAUAAACAUCUCUGUCACAUAUUGUUUUCUUAAUCAAGCUGUAUGUUUAGCAAUGCAAUUGGCUGAUAAAGAAAAAGAAAAAUUAAUUCCAUUGUCUCAGCUAAAACCAAAAUGGCUCACAGCAAAAUACUUUAGCAGGCUUUUACCUUGCAAGCUACCAAACGUAUAAACAUGGGCAGACAAAAUUUAAAUUACUAAAAUGAAUAAAUCUAAUGAUCAAUUUAAAAGUAAUUUCAACAUCUGGAAACAAAAUAUUAUUUACAACAUUUUCUGCGUUUUGUAAUCUACAAUUGGAAUCAUACAUGCUACCUUUUGAUAUGAAACACUAUUAUACAGUGUAGCUCAAGGAAAUUUAUAUAGAGUAUAGGAUUAUAAAGUUGUUCUGCACCUGCCUUCACAUCAAUUCAGAGGAGCUGGCCCAGAAAGAAAAACAUUCAGAAAUGGAAGUUCUUCUCAAAGAAAGACACAACUCCGCCUGAGGGACUACAUCUGUUUGUUAGGUAUAUACACAAAGGAUAGGUUAAUUUUGGUAUAAACACAAAGAUUUUUUAAAACAAGUGUACAAUUUAAUUCCAGUUAGCUAAGGAAGCUUAGUAACACAAAUGGCACUGUAGUACCAUUAAUAUCUUUACCUGCUACACUAAUGAACCCCUGUUUCUUCUGAUAUUCCAAACACUGAGCUCUCAGGUUAACUGGUGUCUCCAAAUAGCUAUGUUGGAAGUGCAGCUAUGUUUAUGGGAGUCUUGCGAUUAACUGCCAUCAGCUCUGGCCUCUGAGAAAAAAACUUGUGGCCUGAUUAAGGAAGUAGAAGUAGUAGUAUAUUAUUUGCCACAGUACAAAGACAGGUGACAUUUAAAUAUCAUCUUCAGACAUCUAGCAGGAAUAAGAAGGAAGUUGGGCAUUGUGAUUAUUGGAUUGCUAAGUGACAAUGUUACCCAUCAGCAAUGCAAAAAAUAUUUAAUUCCCUAUUCUGUAGUAAAUGGCACCAUAAAGCUUAUUGCUGUAAUUAAGAGGGUAGCUUAUUGUGCUGCUAUGCCCUUCUUUAAUCUCUGUCAUCCAUGACUUGUGGCCUGUAUGUAUCACUUUAAGAGGAGAUAAUUUCACAAGGUAGAAGAGAGCAGCCAUUACUCAAAAUGACACAAAUGCUCACAAUUGGCACUUUUUGUCUUUACAAUCUAUUGUUUAUGGCAGCAAUGUCAUUGUGGAAAAACAUUGCAAGAUUUUUUUUUCUUGAGACCCCAUUUCCAUGUUUUUGCUUGAAUGGGUUCCACAAUUGUGUAUUUGUGAUUUUCAUACAUGUUACCAUUUCAUGUGCCUGGUUGCUAUGAUACUACAUGGUUACUAGGGACAUGAAGCACAUGCCAGGUGGUUAAUGCAAAGCCUGAUGUUUUUUGCAAUAUAGGGUAACUGCCAAAGAAUUUAGGCUUUUUUAAACAUUUACUGUUUAAAUCCUGGUUAGGGCCUUAAUUAUUAUGU